rnacentral:misc_RNA from 1 species
GAUGAAGAACGCAGCGAAAUGCGAUACGUAAUGUGAAUUGCAAAUUCAGUGAAUCAUCGAGUCUUUGAACGCACAUUGCGCCCCCUGGUAUUCCGGGGGGCAUGCCUGUCCGAGCGUCAUUGCUGCCCUCAAGCACGGCUUGUGUGUUGGGCCCCGUCCUCCGAUCCCGGGGGACGGGCCCGAAAGGCAGCGGCGGCACCGCGUCCGGUCCUCGAGCGUAUGGGGCUUUGUCACCCGCUCUGUAGGCCCGGCCGGCGCUUGCCGAUCAACCCAAAUUUUUAUCCAGGUUGACCUCGGAUCCGGUAGGGAUACCCGCUGAACUUAAGCAUAUCAAUAAGCGGAGGA